rnacentral:tRNA from 1 species
GCUCAAGUGGUGGAAUCGGUAGACACGCCGGACUUAAAAUCCUGUGUCCAUUAUGGACGUGCGGGUUCAAGUCCCGCCUUGAGUA